rnacentral:rRNA from 1 species
GACGAACGCUGGCGGCGUGCCUAAUACAUGCAAGUAGGACGCAGUUGCGAACGGGUGAGUAACGCGUGGGUAACUGCCUAUUAGAGGGGGAUAACCAUUGGAAACGAUAGCUAAUACCGCCUACUAGUAGAUGGACCUGCGUUGUAUUAGCUAGUAGGUAGGGUAAUGGCCUACCUAGGCAACGAUACAUAGCCGAGCUUGGAGGGUGAUCCGCCACACUGGGACUGGGACACGGCCCAGACUCCUACGGGAGGCAGCCGGAGGGGAUCUUCGGCAAUGGGGGGAAAGCUGAACGCGCCAAGCCGCGUGAGUGAAGGAGGUUUUCGGAGUGUAAAGCUCUGUUGUUAGGGGAGCGGUACUUAAAGAGGAAGGGACGGCUAACUACGUGCCAGCCGCCGCGGUAAUAC